rnacentral:rRNA from 1 species
UUUUUGAAAUAAUUUAAAGUCUAAUCUGCCCACUGAUAAAUUAUUAAAGGGCUGCAGUAUUUUGACUGUACAAAGGUAGCAUAAUCAAUAGUCUCUUAAUUGGUGACUUGUAUGAAAGAUUGGAUGAGAUAUAAACUGUCUCUAAAUAAUUUAUAGAAAUUAAUUUUUUAGUUAAAAAGCUAAAAUAAUUUUAAAAGACGAGAAGACCCUAUAGAGUUUAAUAAUUUAUUUAAUUAUUAUUAUUAUAUAAUUUUUAAAAUUAAAAUUGAAUAAAUUAUUUUGUUGGGGUGAUAAAAAAAUUAAAUUAACUUUUUUUAUUUUUUUACAUUAAUUUAUGAAUAAAUGAUCCAAUAAUAGUGAUAAUAAGAAAAAAUUACCUUAGGGAUAACAGCGUAAUUUUUUUUUUUAGUUCAAAUAGGAAAAAAAGUUUGCGACCUCGAUGUUGGAUUAAGAUAAAAUUUAAAUGCAAAAGUUUAAAAUUUUUGAUCUGUUCGAUCAUUAAAAUCUUACAUGA